rnacentral:rRNA from 1 species
UACAGAGGUGGCGAGCGUUAUUCGGAAUUAUUGGGCGUAAAGGGCGCGUAGGCGGCUUGACAAGUCCCGGGUGAAAUCCCUCGGCUCAACCGAGGAACUGCCUUGGAAACUGUCUGGCUUGAGGCCGGGAGAGGGUAGUGGAAUUCCCAGUGUAGCGGUGAAAUGCGUAGAUACUGGGAGGAACACCGGUGGCGAAGGCGGCGACCUGGUCCGAUACUGACGCUGAGGCGCGAAAGCGUGGGGAGCAAACAGG